rnacentral:rRNA from 1 species
AACGAACGCUGGCGGCAUGCCUAACACAUGCAAGUCGAACGAGACCUUCGGGUCUAGUGGCGCACGGGUGCGUAACGCGUGGGAACCUGCCCUUAGGUUCGGCAUAACUCCCCGAAAGGGGUGCUAAUACCGGAUAAUGUCUUCGGACCAAAGAUUUAUCGCCUUUGGAUGGGCCCGCGUUGGAUUAGCUAGUUGGUAGGGUAAAAGCCUACCAAGGCGACGAUCCAUAGCUGGUCUGAGAGGAUGAUCAGCCACACUGGGACUGAGACACGGCCCAGACUCCUACGGGAGGCAGCAGUGGGGAAUAUUGGACAAUGGGCGAAAGCCUGAUCCAGCAAUGCCGCGUGAGUGAUGAAGGACUUAGGGUUGUAAAGCUCUUUUAACCGGGAUGAUAAUGACAGUACCGGGAGAAUAAGCGCCGGCUAACUCCGUG